AUACUUACCUGGCAGGGGAGAUACCAUGAUCAUGAAGGUGGUUCACUAAGUGAGGCUCGGCCAUUGCACUUCGGUUGUGCUGACCGUGCGAAUUCCUCAAAUAUUGGGAAUCUCGACUGCAUAAUUUGUGGUAGUUGGGGACUGCGUCCGCGCUCUCCUAGA